AUGGCUCAGAUAGGACCAAGUUUGGAUAUUCAUGUGUUGGAUAGGGGUCGGGGAUGGUUUCCUGCACAAGAGGUGAAGUUCAUUUAUGUAAAUUUGUGUCCCGUGGUCAUAUAUUGGCCUGUAGAAUUUAUCAGAUAUGUGAAGGUGCAAAUUGAAACAGAAGACUCGUCUAUGAUGCAGCAGCUCAAAGCUGAAGAUUUCUCUAAUAAUUCUGAUGGUAGUGCGCAUGAUUGGGUUGUUGUGUUGGAUAAAAACAGGAAGGAUGUCAUAUUUGAGCAGAUAGCUGAUCUGAUUGGGGAUGUUGAAAAUACGGUUUUCAACAUGGUUGUCUGCAUAUCUGUGUCCAUGGUUACUGAGGCAAGUAGUUGUUGUUAUAAAGUCUUAAAGCUACAUGGGAAGAUCUCGGCAGAUACUUUAAGCCCCAAAGUAUCAAAGGGGAUUUCACCUUCUUGCCAUGCGUUGAGCCGCGGUGGGAGAAAGUGGGUGGAUUUGUCAUUGAUCAGUUGCCAUCUCUUCAAUUGGGUGAACUUCAUCACAAGAAAAAAGCAGCAAUUUGGUCAUACCACCCUAAUGUGUGUAGGCAAGAUCAAAAUGCACAAAUACCUGCUCAGAAAACCUUCUUGCUGUGGUUCAGAAGAUGAAUACAUCGCCAAGUUGCCCUUGAUAAUGCGUCUUUCUAUGACACAUACGACUGUUUCUCCAGCACUGAUUUCAAGCAACAGAAGUUGUGCCAAUUCACUCUCCUCAUCGACACUCAACAAUGGCCUCUUCUUCCAGUGCCCGAAGCAGCCGCAUACCCAUAUGCCUCGUGUUGAUUCUCCUGAUCGUCAGCCUGCCAGAAGUCUCAGCUGUCAUGCCGUACAAUGUUGCCUCUUCAGUACAUCUGUGUUAGCUCUUUCUGUUACUAUCCAUUCUGUAAGCUCUAGGAAAAAGAUGCGGAGAUCAAUGACACUAGAGGGGCGGACAGGCAGCUGCGGAGCAUCUGAUGGAGCAACUGAGCUUGAGUCAGUGAACAGGAGGAGCAAAGACAACAACUGCUCCGUCAUCAUAAACUUCCACUCUUGGCCGAGCUUAAACCUGCUAGCCACUUAUGCGUACAGUGUAGAUUCUAUUGCAAGUUCCUUGCUUAUAUGUGCAUGUUCAUCAAUUUGGAAAAAAAGAGAUGAAAAGGUUGCUCGUCAAUCUGGCACCGCACAAACUUCCUCUCAAGAGGCGCCACCAGGUGGCGCCCCAACCCCUAGUGUAGGUUUCAUAAGGGCUCAUAUGCCGGAAAUACAGAAGGGCUCAGGAGAAUGCCGGGUGUAA
rnacentral:rRNA from 1 species